rnacentral:tRNA from 1 species
GCAUCCUUAGCUCAGCAAGGCAGAGCAUUUCACACUUAUCGAAAAGGUCGGAAGUUCAAUUCUUUCAGGAUGCA